rnacentral:rRNA from 1 species
UGGGGAAUAUUGGACAAUGGGCGCAAGCCUGAUCCAGCCAUGCCGCGUGGGUGAAGAAGGCCUUCGGGUUGUAAAGCCCUUUUGUUGGGAAAGAAAUCCUGUCGGCUAAUACCCGGCGGGGAUGACGGUACCCAAAGAAUAAGCACCGGCUAACUUCGUGCCAGCAGCCGCGGUAAUACGAAGGGUGCAAGCGUUACUCGGAAUUACUGGGCGUAAAGCUUGCGUAGGCGGUUCGUUAAGUCUGUCGUGAAAGCCCUGGGCUCAACCUGGGAAUUGCGAUGGCUACUGGCGAGCUAGAGUACGGUAGAUGAUGGUGGAAUUCCCCGUGUAGCGGUGAAAUGCGUAGAGAUCGGGAGGAACACCCGUGGCGGAGGCGGCCAUCUGGACCAGUACUGACGCUGAGGCACGAAAGCGUGGGGAGCAAACA